AUACCCCGUUUCCUCGAGCUAAGUUUAGAAUAAUUUUGAACUUAGAUUUAAGAUGAUUCGCGCCGGAUUGAGAAAAAGAAUUUAUUUAAUUCCAACAAAAUGAUUUACAAAAAACGUUUGUAAAUAUUUUAGCUAUUUAAAUUUUUGUGCAUUGCAUAUUAAUUUAAAUAUGAGCAUGUGUAUAUGUGAAAUAUUUUACACAUAAUUAAUAUUUUUACAAGAUUUAAAUUAAAGUCUAUGAUUGGACUUUAAUUAUUUUAUGUGUUGGGCUUUGAUUUUUAUAUUGGACCCCUUAAGUUAAGUAUUUGAUUAACCAAAUGAAACCCUCCCUAACGCAGGUCCCCUCUCUCCCUCAUUACUCUCUUCUUCACCAUCAAUGAAACUCACAUGCACACAUUAAGGAGCUCUAAAAAGCCUAACCUAGUUUAGCCAACAAGAUCCCUCAAUUCAAGCUCACCAUGCACAUGCACAAAUCUCCAUCUCUCCCCCUCAUGCUCGGCUCUCUCAUCUCUCUCUUCUCUCCUUCUCUCUUCUCACUCUCCUGCACACUCAAGGAUGACAUCCUCACACAAUUAAUUCAAGAUACUCAUUGAGUGAAGCAAUCACUCCAUCACAUCAUCUCAUCAAAGCUCAUCAAAGCAAGCUUCCCUCUCUCCUUUUUGUACUCCCUUCGGCAGCCCCCUCCCCUCCUCACUCCACCACACUUCUCUCCUUGUUUCACCAUUUUUGGAAAGGAUUAAGGAAGCCAAAAGUGCUACCCUCACACCAAGCUAUCAAGUGUACUUCAAUCUUCAAGAUCAAGCUCCAAGAGGCCUACGCAUCAUCCCCUACUUCACCUCCAUUGAUCUUGUUGGCUUUGAACGUCAGAAGGAUUAGCACUGCUAUUCCGAUUCAGAGAUUAAGUUAAACGACAGGCUUUGCCUAUACAGGUUAAUGGCGGGUGAUGACGGGGCGGAGCUGAGGCUAGAGUUCAACUCCUUAUUUUGACUUCCGCUGUAGAACUAGCCCGUAUCUAUCUUUUGUUGAGCCUAAACUAUUGACUCUCAAGUAUUUCGAUUAAUGAAUGUUGGUUAUCUGAA